rnacentral:rRNA from 1 species
AUGCAAGUCGAACGAUGACGGUGGUGCUUGCACCGCCUGAUUAGUGGCGAACGGGUGAGUAACACGUGAGUAACCUGCCCUCCACUUCGGGAUAACCUCGGGAAAUCGUGGCUAAUACCGGAUAUGAGCACUCAUCGCAUGGUGGGUGUUGGAAAGAUUUAUCGGUGGGGGAUGGACUCGCGGCCUAUCAGUUUGUUGGUGAGGUGAUGGCUCACCAAGACGAUGACGGGUAGCCGGCCUGAGAGGGCGACCGGCCACACUGGGACUGAGACACGGCCCAGACUCCUACGGGAGGCAGCAGUGGGGAAUAUUGCACAAUGGGCGAAAGCCUGAUGCAGCGACGCCGCGUGGGGGAUGACGGCCUUCGGGUUGUAAACCCCUUUCAGUAGGGAAGAAGCGAGAGUGACGGUACCUGCAGAAGAAGCGCCGGCUAACUACGUGCCAGCAGCCGCGGUAAUACGUAGGGCGCAAGCGUUGUCCGGAAUUAUUGGGCGUAAAGAGCUUGUAGGUGGCUUGUCGCGUCUGCCGUGAAAACCCGAGGCUCAACCUCGGGCGUGCGGUGGGUACGGGCAGGCUAGAGUGUGGUAGGGGAGACUGGAACUCCUGGUGUAGCGGUGAAAUGCGCAGAUAUCAGGAAGAACACCGAUGGCGAAGGCAGGUCUCUGGGCCAUUACUGACACUGAGAAGCGAAAGCAUGGGUAGCGAACAGGAUUAGAUACCCUGGUAGUCCAUGCCGUAAACGUUGGGCACUAGGUGUGGGGGACAUUCCACGUUUUCCGCGCCGUAGCUAACGCAUUAAGUGCCCCGCCUGGGGAGUACGGCCGCAAGGCUAAAACUCAAAGGAAUUGACGGGGGCCCGCACAAGCGGCGGAGCAUGCUGAUUAAUUCGAUGCAACGCGAAGAACCUUACCAAGGCUUGACAUGCACUGGACGGCUGCAGAGAUGUGGCUUUCUUUGGACUGGUGCACAGGUGGUGCAUGGUUGUCGUCAGCUCGUGUCGUGAGAUGUUGGGUUAAGUCCCGCAACGAGCGCAACCCUCGUUCUAUGUUGCCAGCACGUAAUGGUGGGGGACUCAUAGGNAGACUGCCGGGNUCAACUCGGAAGAAAGGGGGG